rnacentral:misc_RNA from 1 species
AAGUCGUAACAAGGUUUCCGUAGGUGAACCUGCGGAAGGAUCAUUAACACGUAUCCAACGUUAAAACAACCCCGUGAACUUUCAGCUUGCUCCUCCUGGUAAAUCAUUGUUGACCAGCUUUUGAGUCAGGGACCUCUGCAGAUUGUGAUAUUUUAUAGCUACGGUUGAGCGAUUGCAUCUAGUGACCUGGCAUCCCCAAGUAAUCAGUGUUCUGAAAGUGUCAUUGAUUGUGUAAGGAUGGCGCAGUCACGAUCGCUGUAGGCCCACACGGCCGGCGACCGGGUCACCGGGCUCUGCUCCUUUACGACAACUACAGUCUAACUUCGCCGCGCGUGAAAUUCGCACGGCACCAAAAACCGAACAACUGUUAACAAUGGAUAUCUUGGUUCUC